rnacentral:rRNA from 1 species
UACAGAGGAGCCAAGCGUUGUCCGGAUUGACUGGGCUAAAGCGCACGCAGGCGGGUGCGCGCGUGGGGUGUGAAAUCUGGCCGCUUAACGGCCAGGCGCCAUCCCAUACGGCGCGCCUGGAGGGCUGCAGAGGUCGAUGGAAUUGCCGGUGUAGUGGUGAAAUGCGUAGAGAUCGGCAGGAACACCCAGGGGGAAACCAGUCGACUGGGCAGCACCUGACGCUGAGGUGCGAGAGCGUGGGGAGCGAACCGG